UUCUUGUCAGUGUUACUUGGUGGUACCUGAAGAGAGGUUUUCUGGGUUUCUGUUUCUUUAUUGAGGAUGAAACACACCUGGUUAACCUCUUUUCCAGUAUCAGUCCCC